rnacentral:rRNA from 1 species
CGUCUAGGCGGUCAGGUAAGUGGGAUGUGAAAUGCCCCGGCUCACCCGGGGACCGGCAUCUCGUACUGCUUGGCUUGAGUACGGGAGAGGAUGUGGGAAUUCCUGGUGUAGCGGUGAAAUGCGUAGAUAUCAGGAGGAACACCGGUGGCGAAGGCGCACAUCUGGCCCGAUACUGACGCUGAAGCGCGAAAGCUAGGGAGCAAACG